AUUGAACGCUGGCGGCGUGCCUAACACAUGCAAGUCGCACGCGAAAGGGAGCAAUCCCGAGUAGAGUGGCGGACGGGUGAGUAACGCGUAGGAAUCUACCUCGUAGUGGGGGACAACCCGGCGAAAGCCGGGCUAAUACCGCAUACGACCUGAGGGUGAAAGCAGGGGAUCGCAAGACCUUGCGCUAUGAGAUGAGCCUGCGUCCGAUUAGCUAGUUGGUGAGGUAACGGCUCACCAAGGCGACGAUCGGUAACUGGUUUGAGAGAACGACCAGUCACACUGGGACUGAGACACGGCCCAGACUCCUACGGGAGGCAGCAGUGGGGAAUCUUGGACAAUGGGGGCAACCCUGAUCCAGCGACGCCGCGUGUGUGAAGAAGGCCUUCGGGUUGUAAAGCACUUUCGGCAGGGACAAACAAGACGGAGCUAACAUCUCCGUUCCUGAUGGUACCUGAAGAAGAAGCACCGGCUAACUCUGUGCCAGCAGCCGCCGUAAGAC
rnacentral:rRNA from 1 species